rnacentral:misc_RNA from 1 species
AAGUCGUAACAAGGUUUCCGUAGGUGAACCUGCGGAAGGAUCAUUAACACGUAUCCAACGUUAAACAACCCUGUGAACCUUCAGACAGUUCUUCUAGCCCACGCGGAACAGCAAUCCCGGUAAAUCAAGUGGCGGAAAGUUUUUUUGAUUCGGGACCUCUGUCCGAGUGGUAUCAAGUUAGAAUCCGAACUUGAGCAGUGGCAUGGUUUCCCUACGCAGUGCAGAAGGAUCCACUGAUAUUGCCUAUUUAAGCCCCGCGGAAACGCCUGGGCUAAAAACCGAACAACUGUUAACAAUGGAUAUCUUGGUUCUC